rnacentral:lncRNA from 1 species
GCAUAAUGAACGCUAAGUACUUGGUGUUAUUUGGACAUAAAUUAUGAACUUUGUCAAAAGAAACCACAUUUGUUCCGGACCUGGAAUGCCUUCCGGACCUGGGAUCCUGCCUUCUGAUGGAGAUAAUCAAAGAGCAUACAACCAUGCCGACAACCAUCCGUGAAGAUCAGUGGACAAAGGGCUGGACAACGGGACACACCGAAAAAAACUCAUGGUUGCCAAUUUCACCUUUAUCAUACACAGGCUCGCCUCAGGGGAGAGACGGACGCCAAGAAUCACAAUAUAUCUAAUCUAUCUAGUGAGGCAGAGCCUUGGGGGAUGCUAUCUCUCUGCAGUGUGUCAUAGAGUUAUAGUGAUGAUCCAUGGAGCUGUAGGCAGGCUGGAUGCUCUGCCGUUUGACAUAUAUGGAUGUGGCAAACUCUUACCUAAAGACUUCAGCUGUCACUUACUCUAAACUUUGACACCAUGUUCAGUUCUUCAAACCCACUCCUCCUUUCACUGCAACAACUGUCCUUAUGGAUAUGGAAGAACUCAUCAGCUCAAUCAGACUACUAGUCAGAACUCAGUAGAGUCAACUGAGGAUGUGCACACAUCACAAUACCCUGUGCAAGUGAUGCAUUCAUACACUACAUCAUACUUCCGUGUGUAUCUCCCUGAACUUUUCAAUGGGCUUGACGAUUAUAUCAUUAAAUUCAUUAAAUGCUUUCAUUAUGUUUUUGCGUUGAAGACCAUUGUGCCACGUUUUUGUCCAUUGAAGAGCAUUCAAAAAGCCUACAAAUUCAAAAACGAC